AGCAGCCGCGGUAAUUCCAGCUCCAAUAGCGUAUAUUAAAGUUGCUGCAGUUAAAAAGCUCGUAGUUGAAUUUCGGGACCAAUAUGUCGGUCGUGCCUCGGUACGUACUGGCAUCGUUGGUUUCUCCUUUCUGAAGAACCAUGAUGUCAUUUAUUUGGUGUCGUGGGGAAUCAGGACUGUUACUUUGAAAAAAUUAGAGUGUUUAAAGCAGGCUCACGCUUGAAUACAUUAGCAUGGAAUAAUGAAAUAGGACGUUUGAUUCUAUUUUGUUGGUUUCUAGGAUCGACGUAAUGAUUAAUAGGGAUAGUUGGGGGCAUUAGUAUUCAAUUGUCAGAGGUGAAAUUCUUGGAUUUAUUGAAGACUAACUACUGCGAAAGCAUUUGCCAAGGAUGUUUUCAUUAAUCAAGAACGAAAGUUAGGGGAUCGAAGACGAUCAGAUACCGUCGUAGUCUUAACCAUAAACUAUGCCGACUAGGGAUCGGAUGAUGUUAAUUUUUUAAUGACUCAUUCGGCGCCUUACG
rnacentral:rRNA from 2 species